GCACCUCCACGUGGGCUCGCCUGGGAGCGGAAACGCGCGGAGGUGACGCGUCCGAGCUCGGGGGCGUCGUCGGUGCGCGGGCUUCCGUCCCUUCCUGUUACGGCGGUGCUGGGAGCGCGAUGUGGUGGCUGAGGAGGGAGAUUCCUUACCAGAACAGCGGUGAGGGAGACUGCCCUUGCGGUUGUUUGUGUGGCAAAGCGGUUCGGACAACUAGCUGGUGUUAACGGGUCAGUGGCAGGUAACACCUUAGAAAGUUCUCUGACGACUGGUAAAGUUUUCCACAGGGCCUAAGGUAAACUAAAACCUGUUGCCAUCAAGUCAACACUUAGUCAUCUGUGUGGCAUGAACGAACCAAUGGAUGUGUGAGCCAUUUGACAGCUCCUUCAGAGGUUUUAUUUCCUUUGUGUCUCUUCAUAGUUAUAAGGUCAUAAAAAGUUAUCUAUGCAUGAGGAAAAAAAAAAUCCUUCUCAAAAUUCACUAAAUUUGAAUUUUAUUGUCUAAAAAGAAGAUGUAACUUCCUGGAGAAGGACAUCAUGCUUGGUAAAAUAGAGGGCCAGCGAAAAAGAGGAAGACCCUCAACAAGAUGGAUUGACACAGUGGCUGCAACAACUGUGAGGAUGGCACAGGGCCGGGCAGUGUUUCCUUCUUGUAUGGGUAGGGUCACUGUGAGUCAGAACCGACUUGAUGGCACCUAACAACAAUCUUUACUGAAGCUGACUGCCACAUCUUUCUCCUGAGGAGUGGGUGGUGGGUUUGAACCAGUGACCUUUCAGUUAGUAGCUGAGGACUUAACCACUGCACCACCAGGGUCCUCCCUUCAAGGAAAGAGACCAUAUUUUAUGCUUUUUUUCUAAUAAAGCGCCUUGCUACAGUGUAUUGGGCUGAAUGAAAGAAUGAACAGAAGUCAUAAACUAUCUUCCAGAAAUUUACAAUCUAUUUGUGGGACAAAGAAUUGGGCUUGACCUUUUGUCUCUUGUUUCCGAAAAUAGCACUUGGAAUUCUUAAGCAAUCAAGGUGCUCUUUGUUUUUCUAAAACAGCCAGGCAACACUUAAACGAACAAGUUGGGAGUCCCAUGGCAACAGACCUCGCAACAAACCACCACCCCUCACCCUCAGAGGACUGAUGUUUGCUACCCUUGCCACAGAGUUCAUUUCACUCAUAGUGACCCUGUUGGACAAGUAGGAUUUCCAAGGCUGUAAAUCUUAAUGGAGGUAGACUGCCACAUCUUUCUCCCUCAGAGAGGCUGGGUUCAAACUGCUGACCUUCCGCGACCUUUUGGUUUGCAACUGAGUGCUUAACCAUUGCACCACCAAGGCUCCUUGAUGUUUGUUAGCAAGGUUAAAUCUACGUUGUGUUCAAUGUAGCAUUUCACGUAGGCUUUCGAGUGUAAAAAUGGUUGGGGAGGGACUUCAGGGUCCCUAAGCUAUGGUGCUAGGUGGAAGCAGGAGUAGCAGAGUUUUUCAGACAACCUAGUAAGCUCCCUGGUGGUGUAGUGGUUAAGUGCUACGGCUGUUAAGCAAAAGGGCGGCGGUUCGAAUCCGCCAAAUGCUCCUUGGAAACUACGGGGCAGUUCUACUCUCUCCUAUAGGGUCACUAUCAGUCGGAAUUGACUCAACAGCAGUGGGUUUUGGAAUAAGCUCCUAUGGGUCAGAAUGGACUCGAUGGCACCUAACAACAACAAUAAGCUCCCUGGAUGGCACAGUGAAACACUCAACUGCUAGCCAAAAGGUCGGCGGUUGGAACCCAUCCAGAGACCUCUGGGAAGACACCCGUCACAGCCUUGAAAAUACCACAGCGCACAGUUCUCCUCUCACACGCAUGGAGACUCCGCAAGUUAGAACAGCAACUAAAAACAACAACAAGAAACUAAGCCUCCGUAGCCAGGGGAAUUGGCUAAAGGUAGGCUCCCUUCAGUGGCAUCACUGGGAGGUGAGAACAGUGCAUACCGCACUGGGUAACACUGUCAGAGGGGUUGACACCAAAAUGACCGUCUGUAAAAUUUUCGUUCAGUGUUUCAGCAGAAAUGAAUAAUUUCUUAUAAAAAUAUCCCUGUAGUUACUUAUAAUAACAAAAACAUUUUUCGUAAUCCCAGUUUACUGUAUGCUAAUUUACUUUUUGAAUCUUCCGAUGAUGCUUCCUUUGAAGUCCUGGUGGCGCAGUGGUUAAGCUUGGCUGCUAACCAAAAGGUCCGCAUUUCCAAUCCACAAGAAGCUCCUUGGAAACUAUGGGGCAGUUUUACUCUGUCCUGUAGAGUCAGAAUCAACUUGACUGCAACGGGUUUGGUUUUUUAAUUUUUUUUUUAAUGCAUUCCAGUCCAACCUGUCAUUAUUACAAAAUUACAGUGAUGCUUCAGAUCUCGUGGUUUGGUCUUCACGCUCUGCAGGCAGGUGCUAGGGUUUUCACAGUCUCUGAUUUUGUCACAUUUUCCAGUGUAUUAGCUACAAUACUGUGGUAAUUAGUAUUUGUAAACCUGUAUCAAUAACUUUUUUUGAGAACGAAGUAGUAGUUAAAGGAAAAGUAAUGAUAUAUGGGAUUUACGAGUAACACUAGUAUAAAAAACAUUACUAAGGAUUCUGUAUGGUCUGGCAGGGAGGAAGUCCAUUGGGGGGAGCGGUGUAAGAAUAACCUGUGGAUCUUGUUAAAAUGUAGGUUCUGAUUCAGUAUAUCUGGGGUCAAAAGGGAAAUUUUCAGCAGGGGGUUGAACUGCAAAUAACUGGUUCAAAGCCCUGGAUUCUAAUUUAAAAGCUGCCUUAGAGGCCCAUCUCCUUGGAUACCUCCUGAUUCCAGUCACUGUCUUGUACCUCAUCUUCUCAGUGUUCUCCAGCUUUGCACAGGAUACCCCAUAAAACCCACUGCUGUCAAAUGGAUUCCCACUCACAGCAACCCUAUAGGACAGAGUAAAACUGCCCCAUAGGAUCUCCAGGGCUGUAGAUCCUUAUGGAGGUUGACUGCCACAUCUUUUUCCCUUGGAGCAGCUGGUGGGCUCUAACCUCCCACCUUUUGGUUAGCAGCCUAGAGGCCCCAUUGCUGUUCAUUAAACAUACGAGGUGCUGAUGCUGACCUAGUGGCAGUAUGCUUUACGGAAGUUUUCUGUCCACAGGUGUGCAUUUUUCCUAAUAUUCAGUACUUUUGGGAACAAUAUAUUAAUGUGCUGGAAAGAUCAGGGUCAUAAGAGUUACAGAUCUGGGCUCUAAAUAAAUGUCAUUAUUAAUUCAAGUUAUAAUCAUUUAGCACUUGUGAGGGGGCUACCUAAGGUGCUAGUUAUUCUCACAAACAAAACUAAACAAUACUUUUAGGCAUGAAUUUAAACCUUGUCUCCCAUCUCCCCAUCUGUGGGAUAAGCCGAGUAAAUCACAGGGUGUUCAGGAAGCACCAUGGCACAGCAGUUACAUGCGAAAGCUUUGAAGCCAGACCACAUGGGUUCCUAACCAAAUCCUAGCUCUGAUAUUUAUUAGCUUUGUAACAUUGAGAACGUUAUUUUACUUUCUGUGCCUCAGUUUUCUCCUGCAUAGAAUGAAGAUAAUAGUAUCAGGGUUGUUGUGAAUAGUAAAUGAAAAAAUGCAUAUCUAGCACUUAGAAUAGUAUCUGAUGCAUGGUAAAUGCUCCAGGAAUUCCUAUUUAUGAGAGCAGUGCAUUUAAAUUGGGAAAUGUACAAAAGCCUUCAGCACAUAGUUCCUGGCAUGUAAAUGUUAAAAAAUGUAGAUAGGAUUCUUGGUAAUAACAAGCUACCAUGCUUUAAUUGAAAUGAUUUGGAUUUACAUGGCACACUUUGAGAAGGCUUUAGAAGCAAGGGGCUCCUUUAAAAUGAGUUAUGUGCUUUGUUAAAAAUAAAAUAAAAGGGGAAGGAGGGAAGAACCGGAAGGUAGUAACUUCUUAUGAUAUUAUCACUGAGGCAUGGCAAAGUAACAUCUGGCAUCAGGCAUUACUUAUCUCCCUGUUUUUGAUUUAUAAGGUAUAAUAAAGUACCACAUGAAUACUAAUUAACAUAAAAACAAAAAGAUUUAGAAAAUGAGGGACGUGAAUACAUUUUAUAGCUAAAGAUGGAUGAAAUAAUUCAUUUCUGCACUCUUUCAUGAAGAGCUAAAUGUUAGGGAUAAUUUUUUAGACUUCUUACUCAUCUUGCACUUGACAUCCAUAUCGUUCCAGAGAUUUGUUAUGAAGACAUGAUUGAACACAGGUGGGCUGUGUAUGUCAGUGAACACCAGUAUUUUUCCUUUCUCAUAAUGGCGUCUUAGAUAAUACUGUUUUGUUUUAAAAGCAUAUUUUGUACAAAUGUCACAUUUUUUCUUUGAGGAAAUUUAUUUUUUUUAAGCGUGUUCCCUGGGAAGUGAGAUACAGCUCAAUUACUGAAAAACAGCGCUUCUAAAACACGGAAAUUCUUCAUUAGAACUGCACGGAGAGAGUCCUGGGUUCUUCUAAAUGGUUUUCAUAUCAUUAAAUUUGUCUUUAUUUCUCACUGCUUCCCUCAUCUAAAGAGCCCUGGUGGUGCAGUGGUUAAGCACUCUGCUGCUAACAGAAAGGCCAGCGAUUGGAACCCACCGGCCGCUCCAGGGGAGAAAGAUAUGGCAGUCUGCUUUGGUAAAGAUUACCAAACCAAACUUGUCCAGUUGAUUCCCACUCAUACUGACACUAUAGGACAGAGUAGAACUGCCCCAUACGGUUUCCAAGGAGCAGCUGGUAGAUUUGAACUGCCAGCCUUUUGGUUAGCAUUGUGCCACCAGGGCUGCCUCAGUAAAGAUUAUAGCCUUGGAAACCCCAUGGGGCAGUUCUGCUCUGUCCUAUAGGGUCACUAGGAGUUGGAAUCGACUUGAUAGCAGUGGGUUUGGUUUGGGUCGCUCAUAUUUGCCUCCCCUUCCCUUUUUUUCCUUUUAAUUUACCGUCUUUACACUCUCAUUUUCCUUUUAAAUGAUCUUUACUCUCUUUAGAAGUCUUCAUUUCCAAAAAAAAAAAUACAUUAAAUGUGCAUCUGCUUCUUCAGUGGUGUUAGUAGUAAUCCUUGGUGUAUGGUAGGCAUCCAUCACCUCAGCAAGCGUUAUCUGUACAUUAAUGGCUGUGACCAUGAUGGAAAACCCAUGGUGCUCCAGUGGGUUCUGACUCACAGCGACCCUACAAGACAGUAAAACUGCCCCAGAGGGGUUCCAAGGCUGUAAUCUUUACAGAUGGGGCCCUGGUAGAAGAGGAGAACAAUCUACUCUAAAAAUUAUUUGGACCACUUUCAUUGCUAAUAGCGUUUGUAGUCAAUAGCUGGCAACACAAACACACGGAAUCGGAGCCUAAGUGACUGGCUGCUGUGUACACCCUGUGGCACCAGGCAGACUUCUUCCGGCCUUUCCCAUAACUGGGAAUUGCAGGCUUCAUUCGCUCCCUCCACGUUUGUCUCGUUUCCGAUGUAAGGAUUCUGGGUGGCGAGGGAAAGGCGUUAGAGGAAACCGGUGUUAAAGGUGAAGGUGAGGGUCAGGAAUCCUAUUUAAACACCAGGUGAAAACGAGGCAGAAA